UACGGGGGGUGCGAGCGUUAAUCGGAAUAACUGGGCGUAAAGGGCACGCAGGCGGUGACUUAAGUGAGAUGUGAAAGCCCCGGGCUUAACCUGGGAAUUGCAUUUCAUACUGGGUCGCUAGAGUACUUUAGGGAGGGGUAGAAUUCCACGUGUAGCGGUGAAAUGCGUAGAGAUGUGGAGGAAUACCGAAGGCGAAGGCAGCCCCUUGGGAAUGUACUGACGCUCAUGUGCGAAAGCGUGGGGAGCAAACAGG
rnacentral:rRNA from 2 species